rnacentral:rRNA from 1 species
UACGAAGGGGGGCUAGCGUUGCUCGGAAUCACUGGGCGUAAAGGGUGCGUAGGCGGAUCUUUAAGUCAGGGGUGAAAUCCUGGAGCUCAACUCCAGAACUGCCUUUGAUACUGAGGAUCUCGAGUUCGGGAGAGGUGAGUGGAACUGCGAGUGUAGAGGUGAAAUUCGUAGAUAUUCGCAAGAACACCAGUGGCGAAGGCGGCUCACUGGCCCGAUACUGACGCUGAGGCACGAAAGCGUGGGGAGCAAACGGGAUUAGAAACCC